rnacentral:rRNA from 1 species
UACAGAGGGGGCAAGCGUUGUUCGGAAUUACUGGGCGUAAAGGGCGCGUAGGCGGCCUGUUAAGUCGAACGUGAAAUCCCCGGGCUCAACCCGGGAACUGCGUCCGAUACUGGCAGGCUUGAAUCCGGGAGAGGGAUGCGGAAUUCCAGGUGUAGCGGUGAAAUGCGUAGAUAUCUGGAGGAACACCGGUGGCGAAGGCGGCUACCUGGCCUAAUACUGACACUGAGGCACGAAAGCGUGGGGAGCAAACAGG